AGUGAACGCUGGCGGUAGGCCCUACACAUGCAAGUCGAACGGCAGCACAGUAAGAGCUUGCUCUUACGGGUGGCGAGUGGCGGACGGGUGAGGAAUACAUCGGAAUCUACUUUUUCGUGGGGGAUAACGUAGGGAAACUUACGCUAAUACCGCAUACGACCUACGGGUGAAAGCAGGGGAUCUUCGGACCUUGCGCGAUUGAAUGAGCCGAUGUCGGAUUAGCUAGUUGGCGGGGUAAAGGCCCACCAAGGCGACGAUCCGUAGCUGGUCUGAGAGGAUGAUCAGCCACACUGGAACUGAGACACGGUCCAGACUCCUACGGGAGGCAGCAGUGGGGAAUAUUGGACAAUGGGCGCAAGCCUGAUCCAGCCAUACCGCGUGGGUGAAGAAGGCCUUCGGGUUGUAAAGCCCUUUUGUUGGGAAAGAAAAGCAGCAGGUUAAUACCCCGCUGUUCCGACGGUACCCAAAGAAUAAGCACCGGCUAACUUCGUG
rnacentral:rRNA from 1 species